rnacentral:lncRNA from 1 species
CUUUUCCUGUGCCACAGCAACCAAGAAGGUCACAUGUUCCAGAAGCUGCAGCUAUAAGCACAAGCGAAAAAUAAACUUCUGUGGUGCAAAGUCACUGAGAUUCAGGAGUUGUUGCCAAAGCGGAGCCGAGCUCAGUGGUUCCCAGUCUGGUCCCAGGCACCACGUAAGAUGUUCCUUUGCUCUUCCUUCAUCUUCCACCAUGAUUGUGAGGCCUCCCCAGCCAUGCUGAACUGGGGUAACCACCACAGGCCCACAGGCUAAAAUUGAGCUGGAGUAAGUGGCAACAGAGAGUAUUUAUUGUCCCCUAAGAGCCCUGAUCCACUGACUCACACCUGCCUCUCUGCUUGUCCAGAGAGGUACAGAGAAGUAAUGACUUGGACUUGAGGAAGGCCCUUGUAGGACAUGUGAAUGCCAGUGCUCAUGGAGAAAGGUGGAGGAAGAGAGCCAGAGUGCAGUUCACCUCUGGGAGAGCAGACCAGAGUGGCUUCCGUGGGCACAUGCUGGAUUGAAGUGAGAAGACGUGACUACUAAAGUUGAGGCCCCAAGUCUCAGCUUCUUCCCCCUCCAAAGCAUGAGUGGAGGAUUCACUUAAGGCCACUUUGGUAAGUCUAGAUCAACUCUUCUCAAAACUACUUCAUUCCUUUGGAAUAAAAUCUUGAGUUUAGACUUUCCCAAUACUCCUCAUGGUAUUGCAGUGGCCAGGAACCGUAUUCUGUACUUAGGACAGCUGAGACACUCUGGCAUCAAGACCUAGCUCCCAGGAGCAUUGGCCCCUCAAAAAUCAGUCUUUUGAAGGAUAAGGCAUUUUCAUCACCAGGGGGAAUGAAAGACCACAAGGACUCCCUUGAUCUUCCUCCCAGGGGGUUCAUAAUUCCAUAGGCUAAGACUCUGAAUUAUGUGUUUUGGGGGAACAUUGUGCUCUGUGUGAUUGAAUGUGUGAUUCAUUUGACACUGAGAAUAAAACCAGGUUGAAUAAUAAGAAAAUAUAAGCCUCAGAAGAUUUGAAGUAAAGCCUUGAAAUCAUUGUCGAAUCAUAAAUUAACACCCAUAACAAGAGUAAAAAUUUACCCUGAAUUUAGGACACUCUGUUUUUAUUUUUUUCAACUGAGUUUAAAUGCUUUCCAUAAAUCCCAGAUAUUUGGGGGCUGUAAAGAUGAUUAAACACCUAAAAUGUAGUUCCCUUGGACAUAAGAAGAAAAAUAUUAAGCACUUUCUUAAACAAAGUCCGUAAGUGAGGACUGAGUUAUGGUUUCUUUGAAUAGUGAGGCUAUGCCUUCCCUACUGAGGUCAAAAGGAAAUGAAGAGAAAGGAAAUCAACUGGAAAAUGACUCUCAAGCUUGAAUCAUUAUUUUCUUCUUCCAUCAGGCACCUGCUAUUGGUUUUUAUAAGUAAUAGUAAAGUGAUUAAAAACAUACUGAAACCUUGACACAGAAUCUGGGGGAGGGGGCCUGAGCAAAAGAGUCCUUGCUCCUUCAUAAUCCUGCCUCCUUGGUAUCCCUGUCCCUCAUUUUCAUCCAUCUUUUGAGCAUGACUCAUGCCCUAAUGCUGCCCUGAUGCUAAAGCAUUUAUAUGGUGAUUUGUCUUUCAAGAGAGUUUGUGCCUAGCCUUGCAAACAAACUACCAGCCCAUCUCACAAACACUGAACUAUGCCAUCCCCAGUGCCCAGAAAAAAUGUACUGAUGUUUCUCCCACUUGCUAUAAAUGAGUGCUUGCCUCUUGAUAUCUUUAGUCAUAGUCAAGUGGUCAAGUCAAUUAACACUGAGCACCACUUCUCAGAUCCUACCAUUUGAUGUGUGAGGUAGGGGAGUGGCAGGCUAGCCAGUGCACCCCCAGAGACUGGGGACAUAGGCUGCUUAUUCAUAGGCUCUGCUAUCUCCAUUUUUUAAAGAUAAUAACUUACCCAAGGUACCAGGUUAGUAAAUGGCAGAUUUGAGCCCAGGUCUCUUUAAGAGAAGAGGAACGUAAGAAGUUACAGAGAGGAUAAUGGGGACAUCUAGAUGAAUUCUGAAGAAGGCUCACCAUCUCCCGGGUUUCUUGACACCCUUCUGGUGUGCACUUGCUUAAGUGAGCUGUAUUUAUUUGAUGUAUCCGAAUGGAUGGCCACCAUAUAUAUACUUAGCAUGAUUCUGGGCACUGUGGCAUUAGAAAGGGCCAGCCAGACUUCACUUCUACAGCCUCUGCCACUGCAAACUUGAGUGAAAGCGGAGCAAAGUUGGAGUCUUGAAAUAUUGGGAACCAGAGAACCUGCCACAGAGCUCAGCACAGGAGAGAGAGGGAGUCAAUUCUCAAGCCUGGAGAAAUCCCCUGGGGUGAUGAGGUGGAGCAGGAGGACCAGAGAAGCUGCUGAGGAUUUGAGCAGAGUCAGCCUCCGAGACAGUUCUUUUGUGUCUGUCUCGAAGGCUCCACUCUGUAAUUUUGAUGAUUUUCCUGUCCAUGAGCUCAGUCUCUCUAAUGCUGGUUACCUAAUGAAAAUCCCAUUCUGGUGCCUUGGGACCCCUACUCUGCCUCUUCCUGGAUCCACAAAACUGGUGGAUUAUGCCCUAGUCCAUUACUUUGCAUCUAGCUGAUAGUGGACAUUCCUUGGAUUGUGACUGCUUGUUGGUAUUUACCAACAGCUACCUGGAUUCUUUGUGCUCUGUCCUUUGCACUUCCUUUCUCCUACCAGUGGGUCUUCCUCCAGCAACUGUGACCUGAGUCAUGUUGGAGGUGAUGACAGCCUUUAAUACUGUACCUCAGCUUCACCCUGGAGGGAGAUGCCUGAAGACUCUGCCUCCACAGGCAGGUCAAUGUCCUCAGCCCCCUCUCCCACUCCAAUGUGACAUCCUUGAGCAGAUCCUUGAUCUGUUUCUCUUUUCACCUCCAUGAUUCUUCAAGGAAAGUCUAAAAUCAAGAUUUAGUUCUAAGAGAGUCUGCAAUAUUGCUAGAUAAGCAAGAAGUACAAGCAAAAAAUAAAAAUAAAAAACAGCAUUCCAAAGUAGGACACAGUCCAGUGCUAAGCUGUGUAAUAUGGCAUGUGGUAGAAAAUCUGAGAAGGGAAAGUAGCACAGGGCACUGGAAUCAGGAACGGCUUCAUGGAGGAGGUGAAACAUGGGUUGGGCUUUGAGGAUGGAGAGGUCAGUCUUCCAUUUCCCCACUCUGGUUAUAAGUGCUGUGUGCUCCCUCGGGAGAAGGGGGGUCCUUAUGUAUGUGGGCAUCAAGGUCCCCAGUUUUUGGAGGAUAUGUGAGUGCCAGCAAAGGGGACCAGGAGGAUAAGAAGGUCACACUCCCCUCUAGAUGGUCAUCAAGAGCUAUUAGUUAUGAAAGCUAUUAUUGACCAACAGAUAUUAAAUCUUGGCUGCUUGUCCAUAUGGGUAAUGAUCAUAAUAGAAUCUACUCUCCUGCCAAAUGGAUACAGAUAAAAUCUUGGAGAAUAAAAAAAGACUUAGCUUUCUUGAGAGGGAACUCUCAUUGAAAUGGCAUCUAUGAAGAGCAAAUGCCCUAUUCUUAAGUAAGGCUGCAGGGAAGCUAAGGGUAUGAGUGGAACACAGGAUGGGGAGGUGGGAAAUUAAGGCAGGAAGGGGACUGGAGUCAAGUCUGGUACUGAAGCAGUAAUACAGGGCUUUUGAACCAGAGGUUUGUAUAACAGAUACAUGUGGAACUUUGGUGAAUUGCAUACGUCAGCUCCAUUUUUAUCCCAAGAUUCUAAUACAGGAGGUCUGGGUGAAGUGGAACCUCCAGCUGGAACAUAAGAGGAUGUGGUUGUACUUACUCACAUCCCCUGCCCACCUGAACCCUGGGAAGUGCUGACUGAAUGAAUGACAACCACAUUGACAAUGAACAGGACUUGGAAACCUGGUGGGGCAGUGAUUCUCAAAGUGUGGUCUGUAAACCACCUGCAUCUCAAUCACCUUGGACCUAAGGAAUGGAAUCUCCAAGAGAAGGAAACUAGGAAUCUGCCUUUUCAACAAACACAACAGGACAGCAGAUACUUAGACACUUACAUACUAAGGUUUGAGAACCACAAGAGAAACAGCUGCCACCAGUGCACCAUUGGCAGAAACAUUGGCAGAGUCCAGCUGGCAAGAGGGCCUCGUCAUCCCUGCAAGACAUAGCAGAGCAAGGGAAAGAAGCCCAUAUUGGAGGAGCAUUACUCACUCUGAGGAUCCUGGCAUAGGCAGAUGCAUCACUUGUAUUGAAGUAUAUUAUCUGCUGUGAUAUUUAUGAUGAAAUGAGUUUGCCAGCCAUCGUCUAUCAGAAACUUAUAAACAAAACAGAGCAAAAACUUUCUGGAACUCUCUGGAGCCCUUGGCUGUUCUCUGGACCUUCCUUUGCUGUGUCUUGGGGCAGGCACAUCUUGGCUUAGGCUGAGCUUUUCUAUUUGCCAAAAGAGUCAUCUCAGAGGGCACAGCCUGGAGUGCAGCUCAACAAACAUAUGUGUAACAGCCGAGUGCCACCACGUUAAGAACUGGACUUACAAGAUGGAUAGGACCUGGUGGCAGCUGUCCUUGAGGAAGCCAGAGCCUGGAGAGACAGAUCUCAUGUUAUAGCAGAGUACCAAUAUUCUGCAGAAAACCAAAACCUCACCUGCAUUCCUACUCCUAUCAUGAUGUUCUGCCCCCCGGGACCCUUGUUUAUGCUGGUCUCUCCUUUUGAAAGAACGUUACCCUUUUCUUCACCCAGCAAAUUCUUACUCAGACUUCAAGACUCAGUUCAGAGUCUGGGGAUGAAUAUUCUACAAAUGGCCCCCAGGAUUGUCAUGGUCCUCACGGCAGGUGAUUUGCUCUUGAACAAUUAACAGAGUGAAGGCUGUGUUCCAUCUCCUCACAGUCUCCCGCUGGGCAUCCUUGGGAGCACAGGAGGAGAAAGGCUUUCUUCUUGAUCCUAUUACUGCUGCCCAGCAUCAAGAAGGAUUAAUUAACCCACCAGGUUUUGCUUCAUUACGAGGAAAAAAGAAAAGCCAGUGACAGUGGAAUUCAAACAUUGAACAGGCAAAGGAAUCAGUGCUCAAGCACCUUAUGAACAUUUCGAAGACUUAGCUGGGCGGUGUGGCGCAAUGUAAAGUAGGGUGACUUGGUGCAAGUUACACACCCCUGCAGCCCUGUUUCUUCAUCCUCAGAGUUCACACUUCAAUUCUACAAAUUGAUGGCCUAUUCUGAGCUAAGCCCCGCCCACUCUGAACUAAGCCCCGCCUACUUUGAUUCCCUACUCUGAGCUAAGGAACAGUCUUUCAUCCCCAUGAAAGCUUUCUGUCUAGAAGGAACUAAAGAGCAUAAUUAUACUUAUUUUCCAGUGCUGUUGUUAGAAUUAAUUAAAUGUGGUAUAGCAUGUGAAAGUACUCUGUAACUAAACAUUGUAUAAAUGUUAAUUAUUCUCAUUUUCAUAUUUGAUAUUCAGGCAUUCAAACAAUUAUUGAGCACUUAUUAGGGCAAAGAACUAUACUUGCAGCUAACAGUUACGUGAAAGAAUUCGAAGACAUUGUUUUUGCUGUUUAGGAAGGUCCCACAUGGCAAAGCAAUUAAGACACACACAUGAAAUAAUUAAACAACAAAGUUGGGCCUAAAGAAGUUUCAUCUCACGUGCUAAUCAUGGCUGGCUGGCUAUGGCUAUCUAGAGUAUUAUGCUGAAAAUGAUUCUGAAGCUCUUUCUGGGCUCAAUUGAAAAGGAUGAUCUGGUGGAUUAGCAAUGAAUGCCAUGGGCAUAAGUUGGGCAUGUAGUGGUACGUGGACUAGUUGUUUAUAGUGCCUAAUACAAGGUAGCAAACAUAAUGAUAAAAGUAACUGUUAUUGAAAUUCAGCCAAGAUUGGUAUCAGUGUAGGCUUGUAUGACUGACAAAGAAUGUAGAGGAGCUAAAGAGUAAGCUUGACCUUGAAUUACGAGUAGGACUUCAGUGAAGAUAGGAGGCUAUUUCAGAAUGCAGGGCAUCUGGUAGGGAGUAGUGGAUGGUGGAGAGUAAGGAACUCAGUACUUGAUUCAAAGCCUGGGUCUCCCAGAAGUGAGCUGUGUGGCUUGGGCCACUUUAUCUCCUGAGGUCUCAGAGUUUUCAUGUAUAAAAUUGUAGAACUUGUCUUGAUGGUUUUGAACAUUCUUUCUAAUUCUGCACAACAGUCCAUUUGUGGGUUAGAUGAGCCUUUACCAAACUGUAUUUCAUGGAACAAUGGUCCCAAGAGCUGUUCUGUGAAAAGUAAGUUUCAUCAUCAAAUAAUUUUGAGAAAUUCUGAAUCCUAUAUACGUGUUGAUUCCUAUUUCUUUCCUUCCAUUCUUUCUUGAGUCCACUCUGAUUGGUCCUUAAAGUUGGAGUUUAUUUUUAUCAUUAUUGUUAUUGUCAUGGUAGUAAAGAUGGACAAAGGCAGAUUCCACAAACAUCUCAAAAUAAAAGUCAAUAGGACUUGGUGAUUAAUUGCAUAUAGGCAAUGCAGGAGAGGGUCUAAGCAAAGAUGUCAAGUAUUUCAAACUAGAAAAUGAAUAGAAUAAGCCAGGGAAUUAUUGAUGGACAAAAGAAGUUGAACCAGGUUGGUGGACAUGGAGCAGGGGUGCGGAGGGAGAAUACCAUCCUGCAGGCUAGGUACCUCAUGGGUACAGGAAGAGAUGCAUCUAGGUUACUCACAGCUAUGGAAGAUUAUUGCAAAGGUGUAAGAAAAGGUGAAGGAGAUCAUCUCAGCAGCAGCAGCAACAGCACAACGUUGGGGUCUAUAGAGACCACCUUAGUUUGCCUAAGACUAAGAAAUUUCUCAGGACACGAGCCUUUCAGUUCAAAAACUAGGUAAGUUCUGUACCAAAAAAGUUAGUUGUAUUAUUAGGGGAUCAAUUUUCCUUAUUCUAGAAUGGACAGCUGGAUUCAUAAUCAAAGGACAAUGUGUUGUUGCCAGCAAUUUCUGUUGAGCAUUUUAUGAACAGAGUUUAGAUUAGCCCCUUAACAGAUGGCUGGUGUCUCCUGUGCCUAGCACAUGUAGAAGCAUCUUUAGCCCGUCCAACCCUCUCUGGUCUUCCUGGCUAUGGCUGGGUAACAUUUGGAUCCACCUCUUAAUGGAGUAUGCCAUAUGCAGUGGGAAAAACAGAGAGGACUGCUUUCAUACCAUAUUCGUGUGAUAGAAUGAAUAAUUCUUUCAUGGGUUCCUCCCCGAGUCCAUCCAGUUCAGAGGAAAGAUGAUUAGGACUUUCCUCCAGCUGACUUUAAGGGAGGGUGGGAUGUUUAGGUAGAGGAGUAUUUACAAAAUCAGGGGAAAGAGUUGCAUUUGGGCUUAAAAAAUUCCUGAAUAUUCUUUUUUAAAAGAAAUGCCUGGUCAAAUACCGUAGGGAAUUACUGAGGAAGAACUUGAAAGAGGGAUGGAGAAGGAAGAGGAAAGAUAGAAAAGAAAAGAGACAGUAGGAGAGAAAAAGAGAGGAGAGAGAGAGAGAGAGAGAGAGAGAGGUUUGUCACAACCAGGUUUUCCCACCCCUACCUAGGGCAUUAGAACCUUCCACUAUUGCAGCUAAGAGAAUAGAGCAUGUGAACAGCUUGUACAUUUACUUAAACACCAAUGGUUUCAGCUUCUCAUACUGCACUCUACUCAAAGGUACAGUAGAUUCAGGGACCUGUCACUUAAGACAACUCUUUACCUUCCAACCAACCAAAGUGCAUUUUACAAUGUCAAUGCCAUUUCACAGAGAGGGGCAUUCAUCAGGGGUGUCUGAAGUCCAGGCCAGCCUGAGAAGGAGGUGCCAAGGCUUGGGAGUUGAGGGACCCAGGUCCUAGCUUUCUCUCCACUGGGCUCCAUUGUGUGAUCAUGGGCAACUGGCUAAACAUCUCUGGACUUUGUUCUUCCAACCUUUAAAAGGAAGCAAGGACCCACUCUUUUUGUUGAAAGAAGCUGGAGAGAGUAACUGCUGAGCCCAGGGAGAGGAGGGCAGAUGCAGGGCCAUUGUAGCCUGCUCUCACGAAUAUAAACACUCUAGAGUUUGGUCAACCCCAAAGGCCCUUUCUUCCUUAUUGGUUACUCAGGAUUUCCAAUCACCUGGGGCUCUCAAAAGUCAACAGGGGCCACUCAGCUAACCUCAGGGGUUUGAUAUAACCGGCAGGUGAAAGAGGCCAAAAAGACCUCCCCAGACUUCAGCGAGUUGUCAGCCCUUAAGCCCUUGAGCCUGCAGCAGGGGAUGAAAUAUCCUUUGGUUUUCAAAUCCCAUUGACCCAGGGCUUAUCCACGAAGGCAGGCUGGAACCUGGAGCAUAGGGCGAAGGCAGAUGUGGCAGGUUGGCUCUAGGCAGAAUCACUUGGUAGACCCGUCCUCGGCACCUGAUUCUACAUCUGGAAAAGUGAGUGAUAACUGUUGGAGUAAUAGUCCUCAGGAGUGCCUGUUAAAAGGGAUCAAAGCUUUGUGCUAAAGGGGAUCCUAGGAAGUAUAAGAGAAAUAGCUGAGAGCAGCCAAAAGGUACAGGAUGUGGAAUAGGGGCACGGAGGCAGCGCUGGUAACCAGCCCUGCACACACUCAUUAAGGCCCAACCAUGAGCUGUGACCAGAGAGUUGGGAUAUGCAUUUGGAAGUUGAAGUCCAAGUUUACAUCUUUCAUUGUGAGUCCUCAGUGGACCCAUCUACCUGUUGAUGGUGAACAGGUCCAAGACUGUAAUGAGGUGUAAGUACCAUUAGGUGGCGAUACAUGAAUGCCUUUCCCAUCUGGUUCCAAAAGAAGAGCACUAUGGGUUUGUCUCCCAGCUCAGGCUUAUAAGCAGCACAUCCAUGUUCCCUGCAUCUGUAGAUCAGCUUUAGCACCCACAGUGCCAGCUGCAAGUGGGGGUAGUGUGUGUGCGUUUUGAGCGCGUGCAUGCACAUAUGCCAAUUGUUGUGUAUUUUCACCUCAAUGUCGGUGACCAGCAAAUGAGGCAUCAGUGACACCCUGGCAGCAACUGACUACUUGGGCCACACUCUGAAAAUGGAUUGCCUCUGUUUUCUCUGCUUGAUCUUCACUGGGGGAAAAGAGUUAAAUUCGAUUUCCAGGAGCUCUCCAUGAGAGCCAACUUCAGCACAAGUUCCCAUUUCCAGAGAGGCUGCCGAGUCUCUCAUUUGUAAAGGCCUCCUCCCUUUGCCCUGAGCGGACUAGCCUUCCCCUACUUCUGCCUCUUUGCCUCUGUGUCACAGUUUUGUGGUCGAUGACACCCUCUCCUUAUCCUGCACCUCCUCCUGGUCUUGCCGACAUGGCUCAAUACUUUGUGCCUAAAUACAGGACUUGUACCAGUCUCCUAUGUCCCCGUGGAGGGCCCAGUGACAAAGGAAAAAAACCAGCCUUUCUCUGCUCAUCUGGGUGCAUAGGGCUCACCCUGAGGGAAGCUGGAAGUGGCAGCAAAUUUUUGUUUAUAAAUAAAAACAAAGACAACUUGUCGUUCCAAAGGAAAAUGCCCCCUGGUGAAAGAAACACUUAAAACCACUGAAGAAUUAGUUUCGUUUUGUCCUUGGUGGCCACCCUGUCAGCAGGUUUCCUUGAUCUUAUGUUGGUGACAGAGUCUCAAACUGAAUGCCAAGGGAAGGAUUCCACACAUAUUCCUUGGAUUUGUAGCUGAGGUACAGCCCUGGGCCUGGGGACAUGGAGAAGACCCAGCCUGCAAAACUCAAUCAUGGCUCUGCAGAUUUUACCCAGUUUGGAGAUCUACUAGCUACCACACUCGACACACACACACACACACACACACACACACACACACACUAUGAUGGAUGUCAUUCUUGUCUGCAACAUGCUCUAGUGACUGGGCCCAAGUCAGGCACAGCUUCUUGUGUGAACUGAAACACCAUUCUUUUCUUCCCUGUGUGAAAAAACAGAAUACAAGGGUGAGUGAUCUUAUGAAAACACUACUGAAUCUGUUCCAUUUUACAUAUUCACAAAAUUGAGGCCACUUAAUGUAAUAGAUAAAAGUAAUACAGAGACAACUACAAUAGGAAACAAAAGGUGAGAAAUGACAGAAGAAACAACACUCAGUGAAUACUGGGACUCAAGAGCAGGAGCAAUGGCAGCCACUUUGGAGUAGGAAGGUGAGCACUAGGAAGGGCCCCCCACCCCCUGCAAUAAGCUUUGAUGGACGGAUGGAAUUUUUUUCAAGGUAUUCUUUUUUAAAAAACAUCUUUAUUGAGAUAUACUUCAAAUACUAUAAAAUUCACUCAUUUAAAGCAUACAAUGCAGUGGUUUUUAGUAUAUUCACAGAGGUACACAACCAUUGUCACAAUCUAAGUUUAGAACAUUUUUGUCGCCUCUAACAGAAACAUGCAGUCAUGAGCAGUCAGCCCCAUUCACCCCUCACUCCCCAGCCCUAGGCAACCACUAGUCUACUUUCUGUCUCUAUAGAUGUGCCUAUUCUAGGUAUUUUAUAUUAAUGGAAUUAUAGUUUUUUGUGGCUGUCUUCUUCAACUUAGCAUAAUGUUUUCAAGGUUUGUCCAUGUUGUAAAAGGUGUCGGUACUUCAUUUCUUUUCAUGGCCGAAAAAUAUUCCAUUGUAUAGAUAUUCCCCAUGUUUGUUUAUUCAUUCAUCUAUUAAUGAACAUUUGGGUUGUUUCCACUUUUUGCCUAUUAUGAGAAAUGGUGCAGUUCUUUCAUCUGCAUGUUUUUAUGUGGACAUGUUUUCAUUUCUCUUGGGUGUAUACCUAGGAGUGGAAUUGCUAGGUCAUAUAUUAUCCCUAUGUCUAACUUUUUGAGGAAUUGCCAAACUGUUUUUCAAAGUGGCUGCACCUUACCGCAUUCCCACCAGCAAUAAAUAAGGGUUUCAAUUUAUCAGUGUCCUUGUUAUAGUCUGUCUUUUUGAUGAUAGACAUCCUGGAGGGUGUGAAGUGGUAUCUCGUUGUGGUUUUGAUUUGCAUUUCCCUGAUGACUAAUGAUGUUGAGCAUCUUUUCAUGUGCUUAUUAGCUAUUUGUAUUUUUUUUUUUUGGUGUUGGGGGACAUAUGUCUAUUCAAAUCCUGGGCCCAGGUCAGGCACAGAUGCUUUUUAAUUCGGUUGUCUUUUUAUUUUUGAGUGGAUGGCUGAGUUUUUGAGAGGUGUAGGAGUGUAGGAGCAAAAGCUUAGAUGUGGAAAAGGUAGGCACUUGUAAGGAGUAAGAAGUAAAACAGAUUGGCUUCAGAGUGUAGCAUUUUCAUGAGAGAUGUGACUCUGCAUUUAACAGAAAAGGC